AGCAGUCGCCGCGGGAAUACGAAGGGUGCAAGCGUUAAUCGGAAUUACUGGGCGUAAAGCGUGCGUAGGCGGUUUGUUAAGUCUGUUGUGAAAUCCCCGGGCUCAACCUGGGAAUGGCAAUGGAUACUGGCAAGCUAGAGUGUGUCAGAGGAUGGUGGAAUUCCCGGUGUAGCGGUGAAAUGCGUAGAGAUCGGGAGGAACAUCAGUGGCGAAGGCGGCCAUCUGGGACAACACUGACGCUGAGGCACGAAAGCGUGGGGAGCAAACAGGAUUAGAUACCCCUGUAGUCCCUGUCUCUUAUAC
rnacentral:rRNA from 1 species